UUAAUGUCCAGCUGAUACAGGGGCCAAUGGCGAACAGCAGCCAUAGAGAGAAAAAGGCGGACUGAUGCUAUCUUAGCCACGGGAGAGAAGGUAUCACCGUACAACAACUACCCAGUAUACUCCCACCAGGUGGGGUCUGGGGAAGGUAUCACCGUAAUCAAGCCCAAAUAUCUGAGUAUAUCCCUUGGCCACAAGAUGAGCCUUAAGACGAUCAACCUUACCAUCAGGACCAACCUUGACUGCAUACACCCAACGACAACCAACAGUAGAUUUAUCCGAAGGAGGAGGGACGAGCUCCCAAGUACCACUCGCAUGUAAAGCAGACAUCUCGUCAGUCAUAGCCUGUCGCCACCCUGGAUGAGACAAUGCUUCACAUGUAGACUUAAGGAUGGAAACAGAGGACAAAGAAGAGAGAAAAGCAUAAUAGGGUGAUGGCAAACGAUGAUAAGUUAAACCGAUAUAAUGGGGAUUAGGAUUAAGGGUGUUCCAUAUACCUUUCCGAAGUGCAAUCGGAAGAGACAAGUCCGCAGUAGGAGCAGGGUCAGGCGCAGGACGUGAAUCAACCGAGCCGGAUGCUGGGCGAGGACGACGAUGAUAUGUCAAGAGUGGAGUGUCUGUUGCAGGGAGUCUAGGAGGAGCUACACUAGACUCUCCAACGGUUGGAAUGGGUAAGACUUCUAUAGCGGAAGGUGAAGGAGGAGAUAUAGUAGACUCCCUAAAGGCCGAUAUAGGUAAAACCUCAGAUAUAUCAAGAUGGUCAGGAUGGUCAGAGGAGGUAA
rnacentral:lncRNA from 1 species